GUGCUCACUUGGGCAGCACAUAUACUAAAACUGGAACAAUACAGAGAUUAACAUGGCCCCUGCACAAGGAUGGCACACAAAUUCAUGAAGCGUUCUGUAUUUUU